rnacentral:rRNA from 1 species
AUUGAACGCUGGCGGCAGGCCUAACACAUGCAAGUCGAGCGGAUGAAGGGAGCUUGCUCCUGGAUUCAGCGGCGGACGGGUGAGUAAUGCCUAGGAAUCUGCCUGGUAGUGGGGGAUAACGUCCGGAAACGGGCGCUAAUACCGCAUACGUCCUGAGGGAGAAAGUGGGGGAUCUUCGGACCUCACGCUAUCAGAUGAGCCUAGGUCGGAUUAGCUAGUUGGUGGGGUAAAGGCCUACCAAGGCGACGAUCCGUAACUGGUCUGAGAGGAUGAUCAGUCACACUGGAACUGAGACACGGUCCAGACUCCUACGGGAGGCAGCAGUGGGGAAUAUUGGACAAUGGGCGAAAGCCUGAUCCAGCCAUGCCGCGUGUGGGAAGAAGGUCUUCGGAUUGUAAAGCGCUUUAAGUUGGGAGGAAGGGCAGUAAGUUAAUACCGUGCGGUUUUGACGGUACCAACAGAAUAAGCACCGGCUAACUUCGUG